rnacentral:rRNA from 1 species
GCAGCCGCGGUAAUACGAAGGGGGCUAGCGUUGCUCGGAAUUACUGGGCGUAAAGGGAGCGUAGGUGGCCUUGUAAGUCAGUGGUGAAAUCUCUGGGCUUAACCCAGAAAUUGCCAUUGAUACUGCAGGGCUUGAGUAUAGAUGCCGUUGGCGGAAUAUGACAUGUAGUGGUGAAAUACAUAGAGAUGUCAUAGAACACCGAUUGCGAAGGCAGCUGACGAAACUAUAACUGACACUGAGGCUCGAAAGUGUGGGGAUCAAA